AAAAAAAAAAACAAACUUCACUGACCAAACCAUCGCUCCGGUUUGUUUACUUCUUAAACACUGUUUAGUUGGCAAUAGCUUGAGUGACUUGUGUGAGUGUAUUGGGAGAAUGAGUGUACAUCGCUUGUAAGCGAGGGGUGCGUGAAUGUGUGAUUGGUUGAUUAUUUAGUUUUGUUUUGUGAUUUUGUUAGGAAAAAGGUCAUCUCAUCGUUGGAGCAUGCCAACGAUUGAGAAUGGCGAACUUUAAGAUUUUUCUUCGGUGGAAGCACGCAAUCUUUGGAGUUUCCAAAGUAGCUUCCAUAUCCGAAGAAAUUUCGGGCUAAUUUAAGAUGGAUAUUGUUUUCAUUCCUUUUUACUCGGGUAAAGUUCUGAGGUCGGAAUGAACAAUAUUCAUCGAGUUAUUUUUUCGACGUAGGUCGAUAGUACGUUUUUUUUACAUCUCCAGAAAUACUUCUAUUAAUGAGAAGUGGAGGAUGUAAGGAUUUUAGUUAUAGUUUUGGGUAAUUUUGAGUAUAUUUUUUCUUCAUUUUGUGUGAAUAGGAUUGUCAACUAAUAGUAGUUCUUGAAGGUCAGAUCGAUUGAUGUAUUUUCGAGUUUUUCUUGUUUCUCAGUUCAGUAGUUAGUUAGUUGCUGUAAUGCCAGUAAUUUUUGAUGGGCGUUUAGAGUUAACCUUUUACAGUGGUUCGCAUGACAUUUCGCUGGAGACCGGAGCUGUAAAGCGUUGAUGGUCAGUUACAGACAGAUUACCCGAUCUGAUACUGGAGAUAGAGGAUGAGUCAAUUCAGUUUGACGAUGACCACAUAUGACCCCGAAAAUGUUAGUGAACAUUCUGCGAAGGGAGACUCUAUUUUCGCCUUCGAAAAUUUGAUUGGUUUAUGCCAAUCAAAUUUUCGAAAAUUCAGCAGGGAAUGAUGUAGCGUGGUACUGGUUUCGACAUUUGGAAGCCCCUCGUUUAGUUAUUUUGAAGUUCAGAUUCUACACCAGCUCACUUGUGUGAAUCGGAGCCUCUCUCUUCUUUCAAUGUAUUGGAUGUAAGGCAACGCGAGUGCCGCUCCUCUUUUUAGAUUUGAGCAACUUGGCAUAAUGGGUGCUGGAUGUGAUUCGACGGCUGUGUUUUAGCCAAGACACCCAAAUACCAAUACACCCGAAAGACUCAUGCUUUCCUUUUUUCAUUUUUUUCGUUUGGAUAUUUCCCCCAAAUAGCAGAGUCUUUCGGCGGAGGUUUUCUUGUUCUUGGAACCUCAAAAACCCGGCAAGCGAUUCGAUUUGAACUGCGCUCGGGAGGUUAAAGGUGAUCGCCCGAGAAUAUUUGAAUAUGAGACCGAUGUAGGGACAAGGGAACUUGGCAUGACUUGCGUGAUUAUUAACUUCGUUAAUAAUUACGCAGUUCCGGUCCUAUUGAUUAGUACGCUGAUCUGAGGACUAAAAAUUAUGUUCUUCCAUUUCAACGUGGACCGUGGAAGAGGUCGGAGUGGUGUUAUUUUCUUGAACCGCGAAUUUCACAAAAGCUGGAUAGUCGAUAGAUUUAGGCAAAGUUGAAGUUGUACCCUCCCGUGCAUCCGUUAAAUACAUCCGGAGGAAGCGCCGCUACUGACCCCACGGAGUCAACGUUGGAAUUGACCAAAAAUCCAGCCAAGGCUCAAACCUUUCCGCCUGGUUCGAAGACUGCGCUGCGCGAACAAUACUGGCAGCCGCAACAGGCGUAAACCGGAAGUCAGGACCGCUCAUCGCACGCCCAGCUAGGAGUAGAACCCGUCGACGUAGCGAAUCACAUAAAUCCAUGGUAGUGAGUACCUUUUUUCCUUAUCCAUUAUUAACAUGCGCAUGUAGGAUAAGUGAUAUUGAGCAAAACGCUAUAAAUAGCUACUAACCACGAAAGCCACACAAUUCAAAGCCAUACACACACAAAUAAUGCAUGCAGUGGAGAGCUCACUCCAUAUGACUGUGUAAUUUCAAUCGCUAUAAGCGAAGCCAUUCAUGAAUAGCCUAACGGAGUAAAUAGCAAGCGCGCCGUCUUCUCAACCUAGAUGUGAUGAGAUCGAGACUUGGGAGGAAAAUUAGAGUAGAGUAAUGAAAUUUGAUUAAUGUUCUUAGAGUAAAUAAAUUUUCUAUGUUGAUGGAUGUUCUUUCCUGAUUGACUAAAUGUUCAAUGUAGAAGAGAAGUGUUGAUGAAGCUAAUUGA